rnacentral:rRNA from 1 species
UACGUAGGUGGCAAGCGUUGUCCGGAAUUAUUGGGCGUAAAGCGCGCGCAGGCGGUCCCUUAAGUCUGAUGUGAAAGCCCACGGCUCAACCGUGGAGGGUCAUUGGAAACUGGGGGACUUGAGUGCAGAAGAGGAAAGUGGAAUUCCAUGUGUAGCGGUGAAAUGCGUAGAGAUGUGGAGGAACACCAGUGGCGAAGGCGACUUUCUGGUCUGUAACUGACGCUGAGGAGCGAAAGCGUGGGGAGCAAACAGG